rnacentral:snoRNA from 1 species
GAUGGAGGGGAUGAUGUAUUUUAUUGUGAAUAUGAAUAUGAUAUACACUGGCAUAAUUUUAAGCGUUUGGCGGAUAUU